rnacentral:tRNA from 1 species
GGGGCCGUAGCUCAGUUGGGAGAGCGCUGCAAUCGCACUGCAGAGGUCGAGGGUUCGACUCCCUUCGGCUCCACCA